AUCUUCUCUUCCUAACCAGUCAGCCUUUUUUUCUUUUUCCCUUGGUCUUUCAUGUUGAUAACUGGUGAUAUCAAAUAUUCUUACUAAAAAAAGAGACACCCAAAAGUUAGGAGAAUGCCUCCAAAUGUGGGGAAGAUUUAUUAACAAGUGAGUUCACAAGGCAGUGGCUGGACGGCGUGCCAGCCUUCCCAGGUGGAGGCCCCUCAGUGGCGGCAUCUAGAGACCUUUUCCUCCGCUGGGCUCUGUUUCUCCUGGCUCUUUCCUUGGGGAUUCAGUCUUAUAAACACUCCAGCAUCAGGAUGUGAGGGGAGUAAGUGGCCUGUUUCUGUCCGCCAGCCCUACUUCUUGCUUGUGUGUCUGACUCCAGCUACUAGGGCCCACUCAUUUUCCUCCCUGACUUGGGACUUGCUCGUGCAGGUGAGGAAAGGUGUGGACUGGGGCGCUGGUGUCCUGUCCCCAGGCUCAGCCUUCCCCACUUCACUGAUACUCGGUGCCUCCAACUCCGGAGCGGCCGAGUUCUGCUGGGGUUUCCGCUUCUUUCUGUUUUACGCUUAGGAGUCCACAUCCUCGGCCUCACAGUCAGUCACCUCUCCCUUGUCAGAAAAACAAAAAAAAAAAAGAAAGAAAGACUUGACAUCUCCUAUCAGCUGUUCUGUCUUUCCCCCUUUUCUUCAUCGUUAGAAAUUUAUACCUUUUUUUUUCUUUUCUUUUCAGUGGGGUUUCUGGAGGGAAUGAAGAUAAAUUCACGUUUAAUAACAGAAGGUCUCAUGGACGGCUCACUGAAAUCAACAUUUGUCUAAUAUGAACACGGCAAAGACAGAACUGACACACACAGAAUAGAGAGCAAUUAAGCACUGAUCCUUAAAGCAAUCUGAGUUCCGACUAGAGAAAUCUGAACAAAGGAAUUUUUGAGGUAGGCUUCAAACCGAAUGGGACAGAAUGAAUUUAUCCUCUCUUAUCCUUUC
rnacentral:lncRNA from 1 species